rnacentral:ncRNA from 10 species
AUGUUGUAUGAGCUUCAUAAGACAGUCCUAGUAUUAACCUGCUCAUAAUACUACUAUGUAAUUCGUGCAUUACUGCUAGCCAACAUGUAUAAUAUAUA